rnacentral:rRNA from 1 species
CGGGACGGGUGAGUAAUGCUUGGGAAUCUGGCUUAUGGAGGGGGAUAACUACGGGAAACUGUAGCUAAUACCGCAUAAUAUCGAAAGAUUAAAGGGUGGGACUUUCGGGCCACCUGCCAUGAGAUGAGCCCAAGUGGGAUUAGGUAGUUGGUUAGGUAAAGGCUGACCAAGCCGACGAUCUCUAGCUGGUCUGAGAGGAUGACCAGCCACACUGGAACUGAGACACGGUCCAG